CGGGUGAGUAACGCGUGAGGAACCUGCCUCAAAGAGGGGACGAACAGUUGGAAACGACUGCUAAUACCGCAUAAGCCCACGGUGCCGCAUGGCACAGAGGGAAAAGGAGCAAUCCGCUUUGAGAUGGCCUCGCGUCCGAUUAGCUAGUUGGUGAGGUAAUGGCCCACCAAGGCGACGAUCGGUAGCCGGACUGAGAGGUUGAACGGCCACAUUGGGACUGAGACACGGCCCAG
rnacentral:rRNA from 1 species